UACAGAGGGUGCAAGCGUUAAUCGGAAUUACUGGGCGUAAAGCGUGUGUAGGUGGUUGGAUAAGUUAGAUGUGAAAUCCCCGGGCUUAACCUGGGCACUGCGUUUAAAACUGUUUAACUAGAGUACUGUAGAGGAUAGUGGAAUUUCCAGUGUAGCGGUGAAAUGCGUAGAUAUUGGAAGGAACACCAGUGGCGAAGGCGACUAUCUGGAUAGAUACUGACACUGAGACACGAAAGCAUGGGGAGCAAACAGG
rnacentral:rRNA from 1 species